rnacentral:rRNA from 1 species
GAUGAACGCUGGCGGCGUGCCUAAUACAUGCAAGUCGAGCGAACAGACGAUGAGCUUGCUCCUCUGACGUUAGCGGCGGACGGGUGAGUAACACGUGGAUAACCUACCUAUAAUACUGGGAUAACUUCGGGAAACCGGUGCUAAUACCGGAUAAUAUAUUGAACCGCUUGGUUCAGUAGUGAAAGACGGUUUUGCUGUCACUUAUAGAUGGAUCCGCGCCGCAUUGGCUAGUUGGUAAGGUAACGGCUUACCAAGGCAACGAUGCGUAGCCGACCUGAGAGGAUGAUCGGCCACACUGGAACUGAGACACGGUCCAGACUCCUACGGGAGGCAGCAGUAGGGAAUCUUGCGCAAUGGGCGCAAGCCUGACGGAGCAACGCCGCGUGAGUGAUGAAGGUCUUCGGAUUGUAAAGCUCUUUUAUUAGGGAAGAACAACUGUGUAAGUAACUAUGCACGUCUUGACGGUACCUAAUCAGAAAGCCCCGGCUAACUACGUG